rnacentral:lncRNA from 1 species
CAAUCAACAACCAUCUGGACAAAUUACAAGAAGACUUGAUAAAAAAACUUAAUGCUAUUGAAGAAACCCAGAACUCGAAAAUUUGUCAGUUGUUGUCAUCACUUGAACAGAGAGAAAGACAAAUAACCAAAUACAAGGAAAACUUUUCUAGCAUUAAACAACACGCUUCAGACCUACAGAUUUUUCUUUCACUGAAGCAAAUAGAAGAAGACAUUGAUAUCGAAGAUAAAUUCCUACAGUCCAUAGUGAAGGGUGAGGAAUUGAAGCAAUGUCAUUUAGAAUAUAGAACCAACAUUGAUAUUCAGAAUAUCAUGUCCAAAAUUAAAACGUUUGGAGAAGUACAUAUUGAAGCUAAACCAUGCGACAUCGUUCUUAGCAGGAAGAAGACCAGACAAGCACAGAUAAUGGUACCAACGUUAACUGUUCAACCAAGAUCCCUUGAAAAUAUCAAACUGAAGAAAAACAAGACAAUAACAACUAAAGGAACAUACAUCUUUGGGUGUUGUAUGAUACCAGAUAGAAGAAUGGCAUUUACCUACUACACUGAGUGUGCAGUUCGAAUAUUCAAACAUACAGGAUUAAAAGACUUCGAGGUCAAAAUGCCGACUAACGUACAAGAUAUACUGUAUAUUAGUAAGGACAAUACAUUAGCCGUAACAUCUGGUGGUUCAAGUCCGCAGUGUAUAACCAUCAUAAACGUUGAAAGAAAACAAAUCACGAAAACGAUUUCACUAGAUUCUGAAAUUUAUGGCAUAGCACUGAUAGAAAAUCAAAUAAUAUAUUCCGGUAAAGAAAAUGGAAUUCGAAUGAUCAACCUUCUCUACGAGUCAAUAACUCUCAUAGUCCCAGAGAGAAUGCCCCAUUCUUGCUAUAUUGCAACAUUUCGAAACAAAAUAUACCACACAAAUUCGGAAACACAUGCCAUUACCUGUUACGAUCAACAAGGUAAACUGCAAUGGACGUUCAAAAAUGAAAGCCUUCUAAAGUCACCUAGUGGUAUUGCUGUAGAUAUUGAUGGUUAUGUGUACGUAGUUGGGGUCAGUUCGCACAAUGUUGUAAUUGUCUCCCCUGACGGACAGUGCCAUAGAGAAAUAUUGAAAGCAAUCGAUGGUCUUGAUCGUCCUAUUUCAAUUUGUUAUGAUGAUUCAACGAAUCAGUUGCUAGUUCCUAACUGUAAUAAUGAGGUACGCUUGUUUGCUUUUGUUUGAAAAGUUUUUAGAUAAUGUAUUGUAUUUUUUUCAAUUUUGACCGUCACAGCCAAAAAACUUUAAUAUGACGUUCUUAUUUCGCUUUGGAAACAUUGACAAAGCCAUGUUGUAAUAUUUCAAUAAAACAUGGGUUGCACGGGAUUGACGUCACAAUUGAAAUUGCAACGUCAGCUGUGUUUUGAAUAACGCCAGAAAUUCAAAUCUGUUGUGGUGUUGCUUGCUUCGAAAUUAUAUUAAAUCAUAUUAAAAAUAUUUUACAUGUAUUUGUUGAUUUGUUUAAUCGUUAAACGGUUGAUUUCCUAUUCCGUUUUGGCUUCAUCAUAACAAAAUGGAUACCUUUUAAACUUGUGUUAUAUGUCCGCUCCGACCGUUGUUGUCCCUUCGAUUGAUGUGUUUUCUCAUUUGAUUUUGCCAUUUGAUUAGGAACUUUCCGUUUUGAAUUUUCCUCGGAGUUCAGUAUUUUUGUGAUUUUACCUUUUUCGGAGUACGAAAGUUCUUAACUUUUCUAUUACAAUUGAAAUUAUUCUACAAUACCAUGUUCAGUGUAAGAGAAUGGCGAAUGAUACCAGAGGGACAUUCAAACUUAUAGAUCGAAAAUAAACUGACAAAGCCAUGGCUAAAAAGAAAAAUACAAAAAGACAAGUAAAAGAAUACAAGACAAAACAUAGAAAACAAAGGACUAAGCAACAGGCACCCCACCUAAAUCGCAGGUGCUCCAGAAGAAUAAGCAGAUCCUGCUCCACAUGUGGCACCAGUCGUGUUGCUCAAGUUAUUACAAACCCGUUAAAUAUUAGGUCACAUUCGUAAAAGGGGAACGGGAUUGAAGGUACGCAUGUUGACAAAUAUAAAGCCCGCACAUGUUAAAAUGGGCAUAGAACAUGGGAUAAAAAUAAAUUACGUUAUGGAAUGAUCUUGACGUAUUUACAAUGUGUUUUUAAAGAUUGUUCAGCAACGAAAUAAGUGAAAAAGAACGUGUGUUGUCGACCAUUUCGUAAUAAAAGAUUUGACAACCCCAAAUAUGAAACAUAUUUGGAAUUAAGGGACAAGUCAGAAAUAUGUGCUUAAUCAAUUCAUUUUUCCAUUUGAUUAUGGACUAUCCGUUGAAAAUUUUCCAUGCAGUACAAUAUUUUUGUGAUAUUACUUUUCUCAUCUUUUUUCUUUUAAUAUUUUCUGAAUUUUUGUCUUAUUUUGGCAUUAGAAACAACUUUGAUUGGGUGGAUUGAAUAUGAACUUACAGAAUCUGACAUUUCGUCUAAAAGUUCCACAGUAUGAAUAGUUAGUUCUUGAGGAUUCACAUUCAAAAUCAAUAUUGUGCGCUUGAUUCAUAUCAACCGUGUACAGCUUACUAUAUAGUGAAUGGUGGGCUGGGCUUUUUUUUCAUAGGUUAACAUGUAGCUGUUAAUAUAGCUGUUUCUUUUGUUUUGAUAAAUGUUACUGUCAUUGGCAAUCAAACCUCUUACCCACUUAUUUUGUAUUUAUACCGUUAAAAUAAAAUCAUAAACAUAAUGAAAUGAGGUAACAUUACCGAUGGAACAAUUAUCCUCAGGAGACCAAAUAACAUGGAUAUUAGAAACUAUUCUGAUCACCCUGCGCAUUUGAACAAUGAAAAAAACGUAUCGUCAGCUCUGAAGGCAGGGAAAUGACAAAACGUUAACCAAGAAAACCAACGGUCUUCUGAAAGGUAAAAUAAUAAACGAUAACAAAUACAUGUAUGUUAGACAGCAACUAACGACAACCACAAAUAAAUACAGGCCUUGAUUGUGGACAGUGUUAUAUUUUUUGUUAGCGUUCAACCUCUCCAUAACAGCGGUGGAACAGCAUAUGUGACUCUAUUUUAAAGAGGUUCGACUCAUUAGAACACAAACCACUCUGAUCAUGUUUUAAAAGAAAAGUUUUCAAAUACAUUUUAUAACAAUACUGAAUAUUAUUUGUUGCUAGCAUUAAACAACACACCUCAAAACUACAGAUUUUUCUUUCACUGAAGCAAAUAGAAGAAGAUAUUGAUAUCGAAGAUAAAUUCCUACUGUCCAUAGUGAAAAGUGAGGAAUUGAAGCAAUGUCUUCUAGAAUAUAGAACCAACAUUGAUAUUCAGAAUAUCAUGUCCAAUAUAAAAAAGUUUGGAGAAGUACAUAUUGAAGCUAAACCAUGUGACAUUGUUCUCAGCAGGAAGAAGACCAAACAAGCGCAAAUAAUGGUACCAACCGUUCAAACAAGAUCCAUUGAAAUUAUAAAGCUGAAGAUAAACAAGACAAUAACAACUCAAGGAACACUAAUCUCUGGCUGUUGCAUGAUACCAGAUGGUAGAAUGACGUUUACUUACUACCUUGAUUGGGCAGUUAAAUUCUUCAGUGAUACAGGAUUAAAAGACUUUGAGGUGAAGAUGCCGUGUAACGUAAAUGAUAUAUUGUAUAUAAGUAAGGACGAUACAUUAGCCGUAGCAUCUGAUAGUUCAAGUAAGCCGAGUAUUUUCAAUGUAAACUUGGAAAGAAAACAAAUCACGAAAACAAUUUCACUAGAGUCGGAAGUUUAUAGCAUUGCACUGAUAGAAGAUAUAUUAAUAUACUACGGUCAUGAAAAAGGAAUCCGAAGGAUCAAUCUUUGCGACGAGUAUAUAACUCACAUAGUCCGAUAUAAAAGGCUUCAUACAUAUAUAUGUUACAUCGCAACAUUUCAGAACCGAAUAUAUCACACAACCCCGGUAACUAAUGUCGAUAAACAAAGUAAAUCGCGAUGGACUUUUAAGAAUGAAAGCCUUCUGAAGGGUCCUCGUGGUAUUGAUGUAGAUAUUAAUGGCAAUGUGUACGUGGUGGGGGUCAGUUCGAACAAUGUUGUAGUUAUCUGUUCUGACGGACAACGCCAUAGAGAAUUAUUGACAGAAAGUGAUGGUCUUAAAAGUCCUCUUUCACUUUGUUAUGAUAAUUCAAAGAAGCAGUUACUAGUGGUUAACUGCGCUAAUGAGGCACACUUGUUUGCUUUUACUUGAAUUUUUAUUAAAUAGUAUUGCUGUAUUCAUUUUGACCGUCGCAGCUAUUAAUUUGUGGAAGAUAUAUCUUGUUUGAAAUAAAAAAUAUUUUUUUUUAUGGAAUUAUGUUAAAUGUUGUUACCUGUAUUGUUCUUCAAAUUUCCAUAAACAAAAUAAGUAAAGUGAUUUGACAAUUUUUUUUCAAAUUUUAUGUUUGGGCGGAGGUUGUUUUAGACCCCUAUUUGUUAUUUCUGGUUACCGGAAAUGUAGGACAUAAUUAAGGUUGUUAUAUUAUUUGAUAUGGGACUGUAUACUUUUAUUGUGCUUGUCGGCGGCGAACAGUUAAUAUCGUCUGACAUACAUGUGUUUUGUCUUUGGCUGUAAAAUAUAGGUGGUGGAAAUCAAAAGCGUGACUUAAAUCUUAUAGUCCCACCAGACUCAAAAGGGUUGAGGCCCACGACACAUGUUUAAACCAUGGCUUUUUAUGUUUGCCUGUUUCAUAUUAGGAAUCGUAAAAGAGACGGACGGAUGAAAGGACGCAAAGACUUUUAAAUAUAAUGACCAUAAUUUAUUAUAUCGUCAACGGGGCGUUACAAAUUCAAACUCGUGAAUUGAGCAGAACGUCAGUGUAGUGUUAAUCAACAUAGAUAAAAUCUUGUUAUUUGCAUACUAAGUACAAAUAGUAGUUACAAUAAAAUAGUUAAAACCAUAUUAUCAAAGUCUCGAUUAGACUAAUUAUGUUCUCCUAUUUAUUUGUAUUGUAGUCCUGUAAUAUUAUGUUGUUUCAAUGUUAUAUUAACUUGCCAUUAAAGUGCGAGGUUUGGCAUGCCUUAAAACCAGGUUCAACCACCACUUUAUUCCCUUUAAAGUGUCUGUACAAGUCAGGAGAUGGUCAUUGUAUAUAUUGUUCUUCUUUUGUGUUGCAUUUUAACGUUGAGUCGUUUUGUUUUCUCUUAUUUUGAGAUAUUGAGAUAAGACGUGGCACGGUACUUGUCUAUCCCAAAUCAUGUAUUUGGUUUUCAUGUUACAUUUGUUAUUCUCUGUGGUUUUGUCUGAUGAUUGGUCUGUUUCUGUGUGUGUUGCGUUUCGAUGUUGUGUCGUUGUUCUCCUCUUAUAUUUAAUGCGUUUCGCUCGGUUUUGGUUUGUUACCCCGAUUUUGUUUUUUGUCCAUGGAUUUAUGAGUUUUGAACAGCGGUAUACUACUGUUGCCUUUAUUUAGUUCUAUAGCGACCUCAUUGUAAUGCAAAGUCUGUUUCAAACCGUUCCUAUAAACACUGAUACAAAUGUAUUAAAUUGCAUACGUACAUAAUUUUUAAAAUAAAAACAAAUUAUAAAUUCAUAUUUUAAUUCCUUUUUAUAUAUUUGUUUGGUUAUCAUAAUAAAAUUAUAUAAUAUUCGUAAAUAAGAAGAUUGGUGUAAUCAUUAUUUUUAUACUUUUUAUUUGUGUACUUAUUUUCAAUCUUUUUAAAUUAUUUUAUUUAAAAGAAAAUAAAAGAUGUUCACUUAUGGCAAUCAUAAGAAAAUCAUAUUUAUGUUUGACCAUCUUAUGACAGCUUUGAUUUACAUUUUAUGACCUAUCAUAUGAUAGCCAUGAAAUUUGUCCUCAGAUAUAUCAUAUGACAUAUCUUAGGAUACUUACGAAAACAAGGUCCCAGGGGCCAGUAUCAUGAUAAACUGUUUAGGGGCCAGUUGAAGGACGCCUCCGAGUGCGGGAAUUUCUCGCUACAUUGAAGACCUGUUGAGACCUUCUGCUGUUGUUUUUUUUUCUAUGGUCUGGUUGUUGUCUCUUUGGCACAUUCCCCAUUUCCAUUCUCAAUUUUAUCUGAAGUUUCAUUUAAGAGAAAACUUACGAAAACGUUACAACGAUGAUAUUAAGAAUUUAUCUCUAAUCCCUUCAUGUGUUACUCUUAACAAUAUCACGGCUAUCUUGGCAUAUACUAACGGCUAUGAGUUAAGAUUGCGCUCUUUUCUGAAGUGACCGCUCUUGAUUUUUGAAAAAAAUAUUAGAAUUCGCGAUAAGAAUUCGGUAGUAAAAAUAUAUGUGCGUUUAAUAGAUACCCGGAAAACUUAAUCAGAUUAAAUACUUGAUUUCUAUAAAGAAAUUACGAAGGAACAAGCAAAACCAUGGCAUUAAAAAAAUAAAAGACAAUUUUCCGCAAAGCAAUAUCCAGAAAAAAUUUAAAUUGAGACACAAUGAAAGAUGGUGUGAUUAUAUGUCAAAAAGGCAGGAACCAAAUGAAACUCAUGACAAAAAAUCAUCAAAAGGACAACAGGAACUCUUAAACAAAAGGCGAGACAAAACUGCCUAUAUGUCAAUAUACAGGUACAAUGUACAUAUAUUUUUAACAAUCGGGUUGAAAUAAUAUAACUAUCUGUGAUUCUUUUCGAAACAGCGCAUUUUUUUGUUGUUUAAGCUGGUGACAAAUAUAUUUAUAUCUAUUUUCUUUAAAAUAGACAAACAAGGAUUAAUUAUUGGACACAUUUGAAAAAUGUCAGGAUUUAAAAAGAACAGCUAAGACACGGCAUUCAUUUGGUGUAUCGAGAAGAAUUAUCGUGAAAGAAUAUAUACCUAACGUGAUAAAAAAAUUGCGGCCAGAUCGUGAAAUCUUGUAUCGGAUCAUGAAUGUGGUUAGAUGUAAUUUACUUCAAAAUCUGAGGGAAAUCUGCAGUAUUUUCCAAACGCGGAACAAAAUAAGGGAAACGAAAAUAUGUAUGUCGAAAAGAUUCAACUUUCUCAAUAAUACUGUGCGAUACCAUAAAGAAAAUAUGAAGUACUUAAAGCAAAAAAACACAAUAGGCGCAACAAGUAUAAGAUUCAUUAAAGAAAAAUCACGGUUUGUACCUAUUACGGUCGCAUUCAAAUAUAUAAUGAUGCAUUUGAAACAGAACCUUUGGUGUGUCAGAUAGAACAGUAAAAUAAAUUAAAAAAACACAAUCCUGGAAACUGUUUAUCACGUUUAUGAAAACAAUGAUUUUUUUUUCAUCAAAAUUGAUAGUAAAAAAUAGGACAACACAUUAUGGUGAUCGUGAUAGACAACGGAUGACCAGACGGUAGCUGGACGGUUGCGCUUUUUUGUUAAUCUGUAACACUAAAGUAUGUUUGCGCUUCAAACACUAUGUGCUUUUGCGCUUUUAACUUUGAUACACCAGUACAGAAAAAGGAGUCCACAUUUUAAGUAGCAGUAGAUUCAAAUGUUAAUUGAAGUGACGAAGAAUAAAUCUUUUCUAUUAAGCCGACUGAGCAACACAACUAUUAUAUUCAUUGUAAUGAUCACGAUGUUAUACAUAAAAAGUAAUUAAAAUUUGAGUUGAUAAUCAUAAGACCAUCGUAAGUCAUGGCAUGGCGUGAAGUGUUUUCAGUUCACGAUAAAGGUUAUGACAUAUUGUAAUUUGGGACACUUCGAAAACAUAUCUAACUACUAUGAUAUGUUAUAUCUUGUAUUGCUUCUCAUGAUUGUUGUAUAAAAUUCAACAUAUCACUUACAGUUCUAAGAUAAUGAAUCACCAUAGUCAAAAUUCUCAUGAAAGACAACAGCAAUUACGGGAGUCAACGACAUUUGUGGCAGGUAUACAGGUAAAGAUGAUUAUUUUUGCUAUUAUAGUUGUCAAAUAUAUUACGCAAAAUUUAGUAAGGGUUGAUAUUGACAAGAGUUGUUCAAUUUCAAUAUCUAUGAAUAAAAGGAAUGUAAAAUAUUCAUAUGUUCUGUUUUCAUUCAUGACGGCAGUUUUGUCCACUUACCUUAUAAAGAUUCUUUAAAUUAAAUAUAUUAUAGAACAUUAAAACCAUGUUUGGUUGAAAUCAGUCGGUAAAAUCUUUCAAAAAGUAUUUGAUGAACAUUGAACACUAGACGUCUCACGCAAAGUGAUGAAAAAAAGUUCACAUGUCAUGUUUGGCCCGAUUAAAAAACAAUUGGAUAUUGAAGCAUUGGAACAUAUUUGGUACGACAGGAAAUAAAAUAAAUGUAUACCCCAAAGAUGACUAGUGAUGCCGUAUGUGAACAAAAUCAAAUGGUUGUGUACCGGGUAUGGCUUUUGCUAGGGUCUUAUCAUGCUGUUUUCGAAUUAGUUAGGUAUUAUGAAAAUUGUAAAAAACUGAAGAACUUCAUCAAGUCAAUGCAUUUAGCUACAUAAAAGUAAAAUAACAAAAAUACCAAACUCCGAAGAAAAUUCUAAACGGCAAGUUUCUAGGAAAAUGUCAAAAUUAAAAGACCAAACACAUCAAACGUCCAUAUUCAUGAUUUGGUACAUGAAUUAUCUUAUGGUUAACUUGGUUUUAAAGCUAGUCUAACCUCCUAAUUGUAUGUCAAAUCAAUUAUUUCAAUAUAGCAAAGCGUGUGGUUAUGAACAAAACAAGUAGAAAUGAGAACAAUUUCACCAAUAUCAACAUUAUCAACAAUAAGAUAAAUCUGAGAACAGAAAAAAAAUUUGAGACGGAAACAAUAAUUAAUAUAUCUUUUUGUUUCUUUUUAUCUAUUUAUACGACGCCAAGCACAAAAUGGUCCUUCAUUCAUUUGAUUGUGUUUCUAAUGAGAAAUAAGUGUAAAAGGUCAUUCUACAUCAUCGAAGACUAGAACAGGAUUCACGAGCAAAAUUCCUUUUUUUGAUUUUGUUAUACUGAUAUUUUGUGUCUGUCUGCAAUUUCUGUCUAGCUUCUUUAAUUUUUGCCCUAAACACAAAUAAAAGAUGACAAAACCUACCUUUUAAAGACAAUCACUGAUAAAAAUUGUCUACUUACAAUUUUGAUAAAUUUUACAUUGCACAUUAUUUUUGCUACUUAAGGAAGUUCGCUUUAGGUGACAUGUUUAUGGCCUAAUUAACACUAUUGAUGGUCCUUAAUCUGUAGAUCACUUUAUCUUGAGUUAAUUAGUGUUGCCACUAUGAUUUACACGGGUCAAUGUUUACUUUGCAAUUUCCUUCAAUCCAGACUAUUUGUAACCUUCGUGUCUAAAGGCUUUACUUUUUCAAAUAUUUUUUUUUGGAAAACUAAAAUCCACGAAUUUAACAACCCACGAAUAUGCAAAUAUUGAUCAAACCACGAAAAUUGAUACCCACGAAUUAAAGUAAUUUCAGUGUAAUAUAUUCCGGUAAAAACAAUGGCAUCAAAAUGAUUAAUCUUUUCGACGAUUCUAUAACACAAAUAGUCCGAGAUGAAAUGCCUUUUGACUGUUACAUUGCAACAUUUCGGAGCCAAAUAUAUAACACAAACUCGGAAACAAAUACCGUUACUUGUUACAAUUAACAAGGUAAACCGCAUUGGACUUUCAAAAAUGAGAGCAUUCUGAAGUCCCCUGGUGGUAUUGAUGUAUAUUUUGAUGGCAAUGUGUACGUGGCGGGAAAAAGUUCGCACAGUGUUGUAGUUAUCUCCUUGACCAACAAGGCCAUAGAGAAGUUUUAACAGCAAGUGAUGGUCUUAAUAGUCCUAUUUCAUUUUGGUAUGUUAAUUCAAAAAAGCAGUUGAUAGUGGCCAACUACGCUAAUCAUGCACACUUGUUUGCUUUUAUUUAAAUAUUUAUGAAAUCGCAUUGUGUUAUUCAAUUCUGACCGUCGCAGCUAUUAAUUUGUUGAAGAAAUAUCUUCUUUGAAAUAAAAAAUGAAUAACUUUAUGGAAUUUUCUUAACUUCUUAAUAUGUAUUUUUCUUAACAUUUUCAUAAACAUAAUAAGUAAAAUGAUCUGACCAAAAUGUUAUAUUUGGGCUGAGGGUGUUAUACACCUCUAUUUGUUAUUUCUGGUUACCCGAAAUGUAGGACAUAACUUAGGCUGUUAUAUGCUUUUAUACGGGACUGUAUAUUUGUAUUGUGCUUUUCGGCGGAUAACAGUUUAUGUCGUCUGCCAUACAUGUGUUUAGUCUUUGGCUGUAGAAUAAACUUUAAGUUGAUGUAGUAAAAAGCGUGACUUAAUCUUAAAGUCUCACCAAAUACAAAAGAUUGAGGACAACGAUACAUGAUUAAACCAUGACGUUUUCUGUUUGCCUGUUCUAUAUCAGGAAUCGCAAAGAGAUGAAGGGAAGUAAAGACGUUUAAAUAUAAUGACCAUGUUAUAUCGUCAACGGGGCAUUACAAAAUCAAAUUCAUGAAUUGAGCAGAACGUCAGUCUAGUGUCAAUCAACAUAAAUAACAUCUUGAGAUUUGCAGACAUAAAGUAUAAUGCAUAAUAAGUACAAAUAGUAGUUAUUUUUGUUACAAGAAAAUAAGUAAAACCAUAUAAUCAAAGUCUCCAUUAGUUCGAUAGCGACCUCACUCUAUGCAAAGUCUGUUUAAAACCGUUCCAAUAAACACUGAUACAAAGAGGCAGCUUCAAUCGCAUCUCUGAACUCUCGCCGCGAUAUAGCCUUUCUGUGUUAAUGCGUCGUAAAGCAAACACCAAUCAAUCAAUCAAUCAAAAGCAUCUGUGUAAACCAAGUUUCAAAUGAAAUAGACGUAGCUUCUUCAGUAUUCGUUUCAAGUGUCGAUAAGAAACAAUACAGUGAUGAUUCCUUGCUCAAAGUGCGAGUAUUUACCUGUAAUAUAACCCCUUUUCAAAAUAAACCCUUGUAUAUUUCUCCAUUCUACACUUUGAAAAAGAGACAUUUAAGCGCCAUACCAUGCGUAGGGUCAAUUAAUUUGAGCGCACAAUACAUUGAAAUGUUAGCAAAAUAUAUUUAAAUUUUGCGCACAAUAUGUUAAAAUUGCACGCACAAUAUAUAAUUAAAAUUGUAAAUACAAUAAAUAAUUUUGUGCGCACAUUAUCAUGAUUAUAUUUUCUAUGCGCACAAUAUAUAUUUUUUCUUUGCAUGUCCCUAGCGGGGCUCUGUAAAUUGACUUUUUUUGUCGACCGUCACUUUUAAUAGGUGUUCAUAUAUCAUAUCCAAUAAAGAAGAAUAUUGAAAAUGUAUAGAAAGUUUAAAAUAUCUUCUUAAUUUCAACCUUGUUAGAGCAUGGUGAUCAUAGAGGGCAAGCUACCUUAGCUGUAUUUAGCAAAAUGUUUUAGGAAUUCUUCUUGUACUUUAUUUGGCCUUUUAACAUUUUUUUAUUCGAGCGUUUCUGAUGAGUCUUUUUUUAGACGAAACGCGCGUGUGGCGUAUAUAUAAAAUUUCAAUCCUGGUAUCUAUGAUGAGUUUAUCUAGAUAUUAUGAUCAGAUAUUCUACUUGUUAUAAAUAUUGAAAUAUUGUAAAAUUUGCUUAAUAUUAACGAUCAUUUUGUCUUGACAAAUGCAUGCACUGUAUGUUUUUGGUCAUAAAAUGCAAACGGACACUCACAUGCAAAAUGGGCUAUACUGCCGAAUGGGGGAUUCUAGUUAACUAUUUUCUUCACCCAAUUCAACGUUUUAUUUUAUUAUAUAAUACAUUAUAAAGUGACGCAUCGUAUUUUUGUUUCCAUGACAUCACAUUUGCUGAAUUUAUUUAUGGUUACCCGAAAUGUAGAACAUAAUUAAGGCUUUUAUACGGGACUAUAUAUUUGUAUUGUGCUUGUCGACGGAUAACAUUUGAUUGUCGAUUGAGGACAAAGACACAUGAUUAAACCAUGGUGUUUUCUGUUUGCCUGUUCCAUAUCAGGAAUCGCAAAGAGAUGAAAGGAAGCAAAGACGUUUAAAUACAAUGACCAUAUUAUAUCGUCAACGGGCAUUACAAAAUCAAAUUCAUGAAUUGAGCAGAACGUCAGUCUAGUGUCAAUCAACAUAAAUAACAUCUUGAGAUUUGUAGACAUAAAGUAAAAUGCAUAAUAAGUACAAAUAGUAGUUUUAAUUGUAACAAGAAAAUAGGUAAAAUCAUAUUAUCAAAGUCUCCAUUAUUUCAAUAGCGACCUCACUCUAUGCAAAGUCUGUUUAAAACCGUUCCAAUAAACACUGAUACAAAGUGGCAGCCUCAAUCGCAUCUCCGAACUCUCGCCGCGAUAUAGCCUUUCUGUGUAAAUGCGUCGUAAAGCAAACACCAAUCAAUCAAUCAAUCAAACGCAUCUGUGUUAACCAAGUUUCAAAUGAAAUAGACGAAGCUUCUUCAGUAUUCGUUUCAAGUGUCGAUAAGAAACAAUACAGUGAUGAUUCCUUGUUCAAAGUGCGAGUAUUUACCUGUAAUAUAACCCCUUUUCAAAAUAAACCCUUGUAUAUUUCUCCAUUCUACACUUUGAAAAAGAGACAUUUAAGCGCCAUACCAUGCGUAGGGUCAAUUAAUUUGAGCGCACAAUACAUUGAAAUGUUAGCAAAAUAUAUUUAAAUUUUGCGCACAAUAUGUUAAAAUUGCACGCACAAUAUAUAAUUAAAAUUGUAAAUACAAUAAAUAAUUUUGUGCGCACAUUAUCAUGAUUAUAUUUUCUAUGCGCACAAUAUAUAUUUUUUCUUUGCAUGUCUCUAGCGGUGCUCCGUAAAUUGACUUUUUUUGUCGACCGUCCCUUUUAAUAGGUGUUGACAUAUCAUAUCCAAUAAAGAAGAAUAUUGAUAAUGUAUAGAAAGUUUGAAAUAUCUUCUUAAUUUCAACCUUGUAGUCUUUUGUAGACGAAACGUGCGUCUGGCGUAUAUAUUAAAUUUCAAUCCUGGUAUCUAUGAUGAGUUUAUCUAGAUAUCAUGAUCAGAUAUUCUAUUUGUUAUAAAUAUGGAAAUAUUGUAAAAUUUGCUUAAUAUUAACGAUCAUUUUGUCUUGACACAUGCAUGCACUGUAUGUUUUUGGUCAUAAAAUGCAAACGGACACUCACUAACUAUUUUUCUUGACCCAAUUCAACGUUUUAUUUUAUUAUAUAAUACAUUAUAAAGUGACGCAUCGUAUUUUUGAUUCCAUGACAUCACAUUUGCUGAAUUUGAAUAGCUUCAAACAUGUUUGGUUGCAUUGAGUUGAACAAUUACCCAUCUGAGACUACAUUGAUGUUAGCAACUAUAUUGGUCAACAAUAGGUUUAAGUAAAAAUAAUCAAAUAAAAAUACCGGCCCCAAAGAAAAAUUAAGAUAGGAAAGUUCCUUAUCAAAUAACAAAAUCAAAAGCUCAAACACAUUUAACAAAUUUAAAUUGAAAAGAGAUGUAUUUCUAAAGUGAUUCUUAGAUAGAAAACUAAACCGUUAAUAAUAUUUUUAUUAUUAUCACAAUAGUAACUAGUAACUUGUAAAUCAUAUCAAUGUUAUACAUUUUAUUUGUGAUACAUACUUCUAUAAAAAAAAAUGAAACUAAGGUUUGAAGAAUUGCAUAUUGCAAUUAGCCAUGCCACAUCGUUCUUAGCAGGAAGACGACCAAACAAGCACAGAUAAUCGUACCAACCGUUAAAACAAGAACCAUUGAAGAUAUAAAGUUGCAGAUGCACAAGACAAUAACAACUCAAGGAACACAAAUAUUUGGCUGUUGCAUGAUACCAUAUGGUAGAAUGGCGUUUACCUAUUAUUGUGAUCAUGCAUUUAGAGUAUUCAGUGAUACAGGAUUAAAGGAAUUUGAGAUGACGAUGCCGUGUAACGUACAAGAUAUGCUGUAUGUUACUGUAUGUUAUAAAGAACAAUACAUUUUAGGAAUGUUGGUCCUCAAUGCUCUUCCACUUCGUACUUUAUUUGGCCUUUUUAAUAUUCGAUUCGAGCAUCACCGAUGAGUCUUUUGUAGACAAGCCAUAGAGAAGUAUUAGCAAAAAGUGAUGGUAAACAAAUCCUAUUUCACUUUGUUAUGAUAGCUUAAUUGCUAGUGUCAAACUACGAUAAUGAGGCAGUGACACUUGUAUGCUUUUAUUUUAACAGGUUUUAGAUAAGGUCUAGAUUUAAAUUUUGACUGUCAUAACAAUCAAUUUGAACAUUAGGUUCUUAUUUCGCUUUGAAAACAUUGACACGGCUAUAUUCUUAUAUCCCAAUAAAACAUUUGUUGCACGUAAGCUGUGUUUUGAACAACACCACCAUUUAAAAAUUUGAAAUGGAAUCUGCUUUGGUGUUGCUCACCUCGAAAUUAUAAAAAUUAUAUAAAAAAAAUGAUUAUACAUUUUUUGAUUGGUUUAAUCGUCAAACGGUUAUUUUUGAAAUUUUAUUUUGGUUUCAUCAAAAUAGAUACCUUACAAACCUGUAUUAUAGGUCCGCUACGAAGUACAAAAGUUCAUUUUUUUUCUAUUAUAUUCGAAAUAAUUCUUACCUACCACGCUCGGUGAAAAAGAGGGGCAAAAUAUAACAGAGGAACAUUUAAACUUAUAGAUAAAAAAAAUCUGACAAUGCCACGGCUAAAACAGAAAAAGACAAACAGACAAACAAUAUUACACAACAUAGAAAUCUAAUGACUAAUCAACAUGAACCCUACUAAAAACUAGGGGUGAUCGCGGGUGCUUCGGGGUUAAGCAGAUCCUGCUCCACAUGUGGCACCUGUCGUGUUAUUUUAGUUGUUACAAACCCGGUAAAUAGUGUAAUUUGGUAGGUCACAUUUGUGAAAAGGGAACGAUAUUGUAGGUACGGAUGUUGACAAAAAUAAAGCCCGCCCAUGUUAAAAUGAACAUAGAUCAUGAGAUAAAAUAAAUUACGUUCAGGAAUUAUCUUGACGUAUUUUCAAUGUCUUUUUAAAAGAUUUUUCAGCUACGAAAUAAGUGAAAAAUAACAUGUGUUGUCGACCGUUUCUUCAGAAAAAGGUUUGACAUAUUAAGAGACAAGUCAGGAAUAAGACAGUUGUUGUGUAUUCGUUUAAUGUUCUUAAUCAAUUGAUUUUGUCAUUUGAUUCGGGAUUACCCGUUUUGAAUUUUUACUUGCCGGUACAGUGUCUCUGUGAUUUUACUUGUUUCUUCUUUUUUUUUAAACAUUUUCUGAUUUUUUUUUUUGGGCAUUAGAAACAACUUUGAUUGGGUGGAUUUAAUAAGUACUAACUGAAUCUGACAUCAUAGCCACAUUUAUGAUUCGUGUAAAACUUCGAAAGUAUGAAUUGUUAGUUCAUGAGGUUUUACAUUCAUAAUCAAUAUUGUGCGCUUGAUUUAUAUAAACCACGUUCAGUUUACUAUACGGUGAAUGUUGUACUCAUUUUUGAAAACCACAGGUUUCCACGUACCUGUUAAUAUAACUGUUUCUUUUGUUUCUGAUAUAAUGAAGUGCCAUUGGAUACUACUUACUCAUUAAUUUCACAUUCAUAACGUUUAAAUAUAAUCAUAAACAUAAUAAAAUGAAAUAUGAUAACCAAUGAAAUAAUUAUUUCCCAGAGACCAAAUAACAUGGAUGGUAGAAACUAUACUGAUCAUCCUGCUCAUUUGAACAAUGAAAAAACCGUAUCGUCAGCUCUGAAGGCAUGGAAAUGACAUAAUGUUAACCAAGAAAACCAAUGGUCUUCUGAAAGGUAAAAUAAUAAACGAAAAACAUAUAUGUUACACAGCAACCAACGACAACGACAAAUAAAUAGAGGCUACUGGUUGUUGACAGGCACAUAAAAAAUGUGACAGGGUUACUUUAUUGUUAACCUAUCAGCUGUGGAACAGCACGUGUGACUCAACUUUAAAGAUGAUCGACCCAUUAGAUAAGAAAACAAUGACAAAAAACAAGAAAACACAAACUUUCAAAUACAUUUUAUAUAUUUUAUCACCAUACUGAAAAUUAUUUGCUGUUGGGCCAAAAAAUAAACCCAAGGGACGAUGCCUGUGAGUCCAGUUCAUAAGGAACAUACUUCAAUAGUUUUAUCUUUCAUAACUUGUCAUAUUCCAUAAUAAGCAUGUUAUAAACCCAAUAAAGUCCAAACAUGUCUAUCCAGACUGAGAUAUGUCCAUACUUGUUUUUGAAUAAAACAUAUUACAAGUAUUUGAUUAUUAAGCCAUUACGAAACACAGUGUUUUUUCCCAAGUCAACAUAUUUAAAACAGCUUGGAUUAACGAAUUUUGUAAAGAGUUUUCCCUUCAGUGAAGACAAUCAAUAUAUCAGUAUCUGUAUUUACCUAAAUUUAACUAGUAAAACAAAUAUGAGACUUUCUUGAUUUUCAAUGCUGACAAAAACAUUACACAGCGCAGAUAAACGAAAAAAAAGGGCUCUCAAAAAUAGAAUAAAAUAACUUUUUCAACACAUUUAUUUAAAACUCUAAAGUAUUAAAUCACUUACACAAUUCGUUUGUAAAAUAUAAAUGCUAUAUGUGCUCUUAUAUCAUAAAGUUUGGUUUGUAUAAAAAGACAAAAAAGAGAUAUGAUAAUUGUUAUAAUUACAUUUAUAAUUACAUGCAAAUUUAAAUAUUCCCGCCAUAUAAAAGUUUUUAUAACGAUCACGUGACCAAUUACCAUCCUAGUUGAAAUACCAUCCGGUGCGUAUUUACUAAGGUAACAAACAUAUUUUCUUAAUGUUUAUAAGAAUAAGUAUGCAAACAAAUGCAAGUAGACAUUAAGAAUGAUUCAUUUGUAAAUAUUGACUGGCCUUCAUGUACGUAUUUACCUUUUGAAAUAUCUACUUUCGUUUUUGUAAUGUCAGCUGGCUGUGGUGUGUUAUCAUUAUUUUGUUUGUUUUUUUCGUAUUUGGGAAACAAUUGAAAAAAUGACAUACUUUAGUCUUCGUUUGUGUUGUUUUACAUUUGGUCAUGUUGGUUCUUUUGUUGAUGGAUUUUUUGUAUUGUUGCAUAUCAUACGAUGACGCGUAUGUCAUUUGAUAUCUUGUGGAUCAUUAAUUACUUCAUAUAUUGUGUUUUGUUUUUACAUUGAUAAUUUCUUUGUUUAUGUCUUAUUCAAGAUAUCUUCACCAGGAACACUAGAAGUUUGUAAGUGUAAAUGUACAUAAACAAGUACGAGAAAUAUUGUUCAAAGGGACAUAAUUAGGCAAAAUCCAUCAAAUAUAUUAUAAGCCAUAUAAUAUUUGAGUUUGGCAUCUUAUACUCAUUCUGAUUAAGAAAGAAGGUAUGAACGAAGUUGCAAUUCAAAAAUUGUUAUAAUUAUUCCAGGCUAUGAAAACAAUGUUGAUUAAAUAAAUAAAUGAACAGGUUAAAGCUGGACACUUAAGUGCAGAAAGGAUCCUCUGGUUUGAUAAAUACUUCAACUUAUUAAAUAAAUGCACUUUACAUAUUUAUGAUAUAGUUCCUAAAAACAUAUGCGAGCAAAGGCUUUAUACAAAAAUCUGUUUUACACAAAUUAACAUUUUAUUUAAUACAAUUGGUUACAAAAAUGAUUUUGGUAGAUGCCCCUGAUCCACUAUAAAUACUUUGGAAAUAUCUCUACAAACUAUCGACUAUUUCGGGAUUUUUUGAAAGAUUGUUUUUAACAAAGAAUUUUACAGCCUGAUAACAAUGCAAAUAGGUCUGACAGAAUACAAAACUAUCAUUACAAUUGAUUGUAAGCCUAAUGUCUAACAAACAAUUGUUGCAUGCUAUUUAGUACAUGUUAGUUUUAAAUCUCUUUUUUAUUUUCGAAUUCAAGUGCACACAAUGUUACCGUUUCCUUUAUCUACAUAUUGACAAAUAUUUUCAACAAAACAAAAUAAUUUGGGAACUUGUAUAACUUUAAAAAAAAGAGUUAUUUUGUAGACCGGGAAAGGCCUUCUGAACAUUAGCCUUAAUUAUAUUUGAUUUGAUAUUAUCUUACAGUUUUGUGAUAUGGCCUCAUCCUCCCAAGGUUGUGGUGUGUGUGACCUCCGACACAUCAACAAACCAUCAAUAAUCUGGUGUACGGAAUGUGAUGAAGGGCUUUGUCAAGAAUGUCAGGAACACCAUAGUUUAUCCAAAGGAACCAGAAACCAUAACACCAUAACAAUAAAGGAAUAUAAAACAUUACCAAGUGAAGUACUUAAAAUCACUCAAUACUGUAGCACACACAAUGACAAAUUUAUAAUGUAUUGCGGGACACACGAACGUCCCUGCUGCAGAAAAUGUAUAGUUGAAACUCAUAAAGAAUGCCUGGAUAUCGAUAAUUUAGAAGACGUCACUCAAAAUGUAAAAACCUCAAAUGCCUUCCACGAUAUUGAAGAAACAUUGGUUGAAGUAGCAGAAAAUUUAAAGAAAAUCAGUCAACAUCAGCAGAAGAAUCUGUUGGAUUUGAAAGAAAAAAGAAAACAAAUUCAAAAAGAAAUUCAAAAGACCCGUACAACAUCAACAACUGGACAAAUUACAAGGAGAUUUGAUAAAACAACUUAAUUCUAUUGAAGAAACCCAGAACUCGAAAAUUUGUCAGUUGUUGUCAUCACUUGAACAGAGGGAAAAAGAAAUAACCAAAUACCAGCAAAACCUUGCAAGCAUUAAACAACACGCCUCAGACCUUCAGAUUUUUCUUUCACUUAAGCAAAUCGAACAAGACAUUAAUAUAAAUGAUAAAUUCCUACAAUCCGUAGUGGAAGGUGAGGAAUUGAAGCAAUGUCAUCUAGAAUAUAGAACCAACAUUGCUAUUCAAGAUAUCAUGUCCAAUAUCAAAA